rnacentral:lncRNA from 1 species
UUCAUUUCUGAAAUUCACAGUGAAUAAUUUGCCUUUCUGUUUACACUCAAUGAAUCAGAGUCUGCAAUGAUAGCGAACUGCAUUGCAACUUCUUGUCAGUAUAUCCUGCAAACAAUAAAUAUAUUUUUCCUAGACUGGUGAUCGAACUACUUCCUGUAUGAUGACCUUCUACACGAGACAAAUUAUCAUUGCUGGCUACUUGAUUUGUGGCAGUUUGCUCAACUAAUCUUGCUCAUUUUACCUUAGUUUCAGUUGUGGUAUUUAUCACUUGAAAAAGUUUUGGUUCACCGUAAUCCUUUUUGAUAUGUGGGUUCACUUUAUACAUCAAUUUACUACAGCUCUGAGACUUACGAGAACUAUAAAAUUGAAUUGGAAUAUCAAUGACGCUCAGUUACCUUAAGAAGACUUCACAUUACGAGGGCUGUUGUUGAAUGGAAUUAGUUGCUUCAUUAUGCUAAAGAGGCUUGCAUGCAUGUUUUUGCCUGACCUUAUGAACUAUUGUUUGUCCUCAAGUAAGAUAGUGACUUAACUCUAUAUAAAACAUGACUUUGACAACCUGUCGUGUCUCAGGAUUGGAAUUCAGUAAUUAACAUGAGAAACAAUUUCAACAGUGCAAAAAUAAAAUGAACCUUCACCUGUAAAUGCAUAACUCAACGCGUGUGUAUGAACUCAUAUCAACAUGUCAAGCUCAUGAUUGGUUUACUCCAGGCCCAUAGUGGUCAAAUAUAUCCUCUCUUCGCUCUAGAGAUACACACCUCCCAAAUUUAUUCUUUUCACUCAAUUAUCCCUGUGUAUGUUUUAAAGUUAGGAGCUUAAAUAACUGCAGUCCUUUCCCUCUCUUAGCUCAGAUAGGUUUCACUCUUAUAAGUUCACAUGUCACCAAGUAUAGGCUCUCCUAUUUUGAUUGCUUCAACCCUUAAGAUUAAAUUAAGCUACUUGACUCGCAUCAAAUGUGUAGUUUCAUCAACUAAAUGUCCAAGGGCUUUCUUCAUGUUAUUGCGUCUUUUAUUCACUUAGUUUCUGCUUUUUUUUUAUUUAUUUAUUUAUUUAUUUAUAUUGUCAUUUUCUUAUUUACUUUCUAUAUAACCUUUAUAACGAGUUUUUGGCCGAUGGCUUUCAAACCAGUUGCCUUUAGGGCAUCAAGUUUUAAACCUCUGCAGGCUUAUUCACUUGAACUAUAAGGGUUCGAUAAGAUAACUUUUUAUUAACUUCUGCCAUUUUUGCUUUCUAUAUGAUCCCUGUAGCGAGCUAGGUGGAUGGCUCCCAAAUUAGUUGGCUUUAGGGCACUAGGUUUCAAAAUACCCACACAGGCUUACUUCUUUGAGUCAUAAAGGCUUUGAGAGAUGUAACGUCCCAAUUUUCGUUAAAGACCAGAACGUUAUGAAGAACUCAUUUUUCUUUAUCCUAAAUGCGGAACUAUAAAAAUAAAAUUCUUUAUUAAACAAAUAACCGCAACAUUUGUAAAUCUAAAUUUAAAUUGUGAAAAUCAUAUCUAAACAUAAACAUAAACUUUUAACUAAUUUAAAUAACACAUUCUGAAUAAAUUAAACUAACUGGUAAAUUUAAAACGAUAAACUUAUUUCUUUUUCUCUAUUCUUUAUUCACUUGGCAGCCGCAUCACCAAAUCUCCACCAUUCCAAUCGACCCAAACUAACCUAUAAAAUUAAUGUAAGAGUGAGGAUUUAAAAAUACCCAGUAAGAUACGUGUAAUUUUCAUACACAAUUACAUAACAAAUAAAUUAUACACUUCAUACCGCUCUUCUCUAUGGAGUAUAUCGGUGACUAAGAGACACAUCCAUCUUAAGUGCUUUUAAAUUCUGAUAGAAAUAUCAUCUCUUUCUCUAGAACCCGAAGGUUCAUUAGUAAUCCAUGCAUAUUAAUUGUAUAUAAGAG